rnacentral:rRNA from 1 species
AGUUGGUGGUGAAAUCCCAGAGCUUAACUCUGGAACUGCCAUCAAAACUUUUCAGCUAGAGUAUGAUAGAGGAAAGCAGAAUUUCUAGUGUAGAGGUGAAAUUCGUAGAUAUUAGAAAGAAUACCAAUUGCGAAGGCAGCUUUCUGGAUCAUUACUGACACUGAGGAACGAAAGCAUGGGUAGCGAAGAGGAUUAGAUACCCUCGUAGUCCAUGCCGUAAACGAUGUGUGUUAGACGUUGGAAAUUCAUUUUCAGUGUCGCAGUGAAAACGAUAAACACACCGCCUGGGGAGUACGACCGCAAGGUUAAAACUCAAAUGAAUUGACGGGGACCCGCACAAGUAGUGGAGCAUGUGGUUUAAUUCGAAGAUACGCGCAGAACCUUACCAACACUUGACAUGUUCGUCGCGACUUUAAGAGAUUAAAGUUUUCGGUUCGGCCGGACGAAACACAGGUGCUGCAUGGCUGUCGUCAGCUCGUGUCGUGAGAUGUUGGGUUAAGUCCCGCAACGAGCGCAACCCUCACUUUUAGUUGCCAUCAUUUAGUUGGGCACUCUGAAAGAACUGCCAGUGAUAAGCUGGAGGAAGGUGGGGAUGACGUCAAGUCCUCAUGGCCCUUACGUGUUGGGCUACACACGUGCUACAAUGGUAUAUACAACAGGAAGCAAGACGGCGACGUUAAGCAAAUCCUCAAAAGAUACCUCAGUUCGGAUUGCACUCUGCAACUCGAGUGCAUGAAGCUGGAAUUACUAGUAAUCGUGGAUCAGCGUGCCACGGUGAAUGCGUUCCCGGGUCUUGUACACACCGCCCGUCACACCAUGGGAGUUGGUUCUACCUUAAGGCAAGGUUUAAAACCCUUGACCACGGUAUAGUCAGCGACUGGGGUGAAGUCGUAACAAGGUAGCCGUAGGGGAACCUGCG